GCUGAAAACACCGUUCGUUCGAUCACCGAAGUUAAGCAUCGUAGAGCCAGGUCAGUACUUAGAUGGGGACCGCUUGGGAACACCUGGUACUGUAAG